UACGUAGGGGGCAAGCGUUUUCCGGAAUUAUUGGGCGUAAAGAGCGCGCAGGUGGUUAAUUAAGUCUGAUGUGAAAGCCCACGGCUCAACCGUGGAGGGUCAUUGGAAACUGGUUAACUUGAGUGCAGAAGAGGGUAGUGGAAUUCCAUGUGUAGCGGUGAAAUGCGUAGAGAUAUGGAGGAACACCAGUGGCGAAGGCGGCUACCUGGUCUGUAACUGACACUGAGGCGAGAAAGCGUGGGGAGCAAACAGG
rnacentral:rRNA from 1 species